rnacentral:rRNA from 1 species
AUUGCACGCUGGCGGCAGGCCUAACACAUGCAAGUCGAGCGAGCGGCGGACGGGUGAGUAAUGUCUGGGAAACUGCCUGAUGGAGGGGGAUAACUACUGGAAACGGUAGCUAAUACCGCAUACCCUCAGAUGUGCCCAGAUGGGAUUAGCUAGUAGGUGGGGUAACGGCUCACCGAGGCGACGAUCCCUAUCUGGUCUGAGAGGAUGACCAGCCGCACUGGAACUGAUACACGGUCCAGACUCCUACGGGAGGCAGCAGUGGGGAAUAGUGCAAAAUGGGCGCAAGCCUGAUGCAGCCAUGCCGCGUGUGUGAAGAAGGCCUUCGGGUUGUAAAGCACUUUCAGCGGGGAGGCGUUACCAACAGAAUAAGCACCGGCUAACUUCGUGCCAGCAGCCGCGGUAAUUC